rnacentral:misc_RNA from 1 species
GAAAUGCGAUAAGUAAUGUGAAUUGCAGAAUUCAGUGAAUCAUCGAAUCUUUGAACGCACCUUGCGCUCCUUGGUAUUCCUUGGAGCAUGCCUGUUUGAGUAUCAUGAAAUCUUCAAAGUAAAUCUUUUGUUAACUCAAUUGGUUUCUACUUUGGUAUUGGAGGUCUUUGCAGCUUCACACCUGCUCCUCUUUGUUCAUUAGCUGGAUCUCAGUGUUAUGCUUGGUUCCACUCGGCGUGAUAAGUUAUCUAUCGCUGAGGACACUGUAAAAGGUGGCCAGGGUAAAUGCAGAUGAACCGCUUCUAAUAGUCCAUUGACUUGGACAAUACUUUUAUGAUCUGAUCUCAAAUCAGGUAGGAAUACCCGCUGAACUUAAGC